GACGAACGCUGGCGGCGUGCCUAAUACAUGCAAGUCGAACGCACAGUUUAUACCGUUGCUUGCUACACCAUAGACUGGGAGGUGCGAACGGCUGAGUAACGCGUAGGUAACCUGCCUGGUAGAGGGGGAUAACUACUGGAAAAGAAAGCUAAUACCUCAUAAUAUUGAUUGUUGCAUGAUAAAUAACUGAAAUGUUCAAUUGCACCGCUACCAUAGGGACCUGCGUUGUAUUAGCUAGUAGGAGAGGUAACGGCUCACCUAGGCGAAGGUAGAUAACCGAACUGGGAGGGGGGAUCGCCAACACGGGACCUGAACCAGGCCCCGGACCCUUACGGAGGCCGCCGGAGGGGAACUUCGGCCAUGGACGAAAGUCCUAACGGGCAACGCCGGCGUAGGGAAGAAGGGUUUCGGAUUGUAAAACCCUUUUGUUAAGGAAGAAAGGAAGUGGGAGUGGACAGUUCACACUGUGACGGUAUCUGAACAGAAAGCGACGGCUAACUACGUG
rnacentral:rRNA from 1 species